GCUACGGGCGGCAGCAGUGAGGAAUAUUGGUCAAUGGGCGUAAGCCUGAACCAGCCAAGUCGCGUGAGGGAUGAAGGUUCUAUGGAUCGUAAACCUCUUUUAUAAGGGAAUAAAGUGUGGGACGUGUCCUGUUUUGUAUGUACCUUAUGAAUAAGGAUCGGCUAACUCCGUUCCAGCAGCCGCGGUAAACCGGAGGAUCCGAGCGUUAUCCGGUAUUAUUGGGUUUAAAGGGUGCGUAGGCGGCCGUUUAAGUCAGCGGUGAAAGUCCGUGGCUCAAACAUAGAAUUGCCGUUGAAACUGGGAGUCUUGAGUAUGUGUGAGGCAGGCGGAAUGCGUGGUGUAGCGGUGAAAUGCUUAGAUAUCACGCAGAACCCCGAUUGCGAAGGCAGCCUGCCAAGCCAUGACUGACGCUGAUGCACGAAAGCGUGGGGAUCAAACAGGAUUAGAUACCCUUGUAGUC
rnacentral:rRNA from 1 species